CCGUCUUCACGAGACUCGUUAAAACCGGAUGUAAGUGUAGCGUCGGAAUCUACUUACGGCGCUCGCUAUUGCUAGGCGACGGGCUUUUUGCGUGACCCGAUUCGAGCUCCAUCCAGGGUCGCCUCGUCAUUGUAGCGGCUCCCUCUCCGCUCACAUCCUCCUCGACAGCCCUCCUGUCCUCUGCAUCCCUCCACACAUCACAGGUAGCCAGACGACCUAAAAAUGUCUCACGCGGGGAAUCCGUUCGUGAUAAUACUCGGAGUCUUGAUGCUGCAUUCGGGCGCCGCUCAGAACGGACCAACUAUUGAUAAAACGGAGGACAUUAUUCUACCCACUGGUUACCACCUCCCACCAAUCACGCUUCAGUGCAACCUUACUACUUCCCAAAGCAACCCCCUUGAGAGCUUCUGGAUGAAGAAUGGGGAGGAGAUCUCUGACACAAGGGGCGAAGCCAAGAACACCGAAUACAAACUUAAUAAACCAAGGCCAGAGGAUUCGGGCGAGUAUAUGUGUGUGUACACAUUCAAUUUGGCCCCUGCAGCAAAUGAAACUAUUGAGGUUAAAGCUUCACCAGACAUCACGGGACACAAGCGCAGCGAGAAUAAGAAUGAGGGCGAGAAAGCUGUCCUCUACUGCAAAUCUGUGGGUUAUCCUUAUCCCAUGUGGACCUGGCAUAAACUUGAUAACGGCGAAAUUACGGAAAUUGACAACUCCUCUGGCCGUUUCUUCAUCAACAGCAAGGAUGGCUACACCGAGAUGUCCAUCAUCAACCUAGACAUCACCUCCGACCCUGGAGACUACGAGUGCAAUGCCACUAACAUCCUCGGCUCCAACUCCAUGCAAUCAGUUUUGCGUGUCAGGAGCCGCCUGGCCCCCCUGUGGCCCCUGCUGGGGGUCCUCGCCGAGAUCAUCAUCCUGGUGCUGAUCAUCGUCAUCUACGAGAAGCGCAAGAAGCCUGAUGAUGUUCCUGACGGUGAGUUUAAAAGGGUGGGUUACUGAAAACUAAUUCCACCAACAACCACAAAGAUAAAAACCUACGUCAGAGAAAUACAAACUGAUUUCAUUACAAGAUAAAGACAUUCACAUCAUGACCAUAUGAACGUUAAUCAUGAACGGUUCGGCGCAUUGGUAAAAAAUCAUUGGUGGGGGAGUUAAAUAGAAGACCGGAAGAAAUGAGAACCUGAGGCUUGCCUUAUAAAACAUGUGAGGAGGACGAGUAAACAGAACGGAACCUAAUUCUAAACAUUUUCUUGCAUGAUUGUGUUGCGUUUUCUUUAGAAUCUCUUUUAUUCAAGUCAACUUUUUUCCAUGUCGGGCAAAAGUAUACACAUAAUAAUUGCAUGCAAGAUAAUUACUGUUUGAUACAGGCUUUUUUGUUUGUGUAUUUAUGAAUGACUUCUAUUCAAGCAAGCCUUUAACUUAUCGCAGAUAUGCCACCAUGAUUCUGGUAUGACAGUUUUUGUACAGAUUAUCAUAUAACUGUAUACCAUCUGGUAAGGUGGCAUUAUGAUCUAUCUAUCAAUCAUUUAAGGGUUUUUCAAAAUGUCCUGUCAUGUUUAAUUUGUACAUGCAUUGUAUAUUGAUGUAUGAAAUCACUUGAAAUAUCUCUAGUUAUCUGAAUGUUCUUCAUACUGAUGCACUUAUCUCUUCAAAUAUUCUUGCAAACCAGUGACUUCAUUUUAUACUUAUGUAUCUAAUCUGUCUCUAAGUCUACAUGGCUGAUUGCUUUUUAUGUAUGCAUAGUAUACAGCAUGGCUUUUAUUCUAUGCAAUAUCUAUACAUACAGUAGAACAAACUUUUUUUUAAUGUAAGCUUUUGGUUGUGUAUAAUUAAGCUUUAAUAUUAUAUGUUAGCAAAGUGCACUGUUCAAACCAUGAGAAACAAUCCACGUGGUUUAAAACAUCACUGCAUGAGCUCCUUAUAAAUAUAAAGGGUCUACCAAGUCAGAAUGUGAAGAGAAAUUAAUAUCUCCAUUUAACAUGGCAUAUACAUGUCAUUUUUAACAAUUAAAAUAUCCAAAGUCAAA